rnacentral:rRNA from 1 species
GAUACCUACGGGGGGCAGCAGUGGGGAAUAUUGCACAAUGGGGGAAACCCUGAUGCAGCGACGCCGCGUGAAGGAAGAAGUAUUUCGGUAUGUAAACUUCUAUCAGCAGGGAAGAAAAUGACGGUACCUGACUAAGAAGCCCCGGCUAACUACGUGCCAGCAGCCGCGGUAAUACGUAGGGGGCGAGCGUUAUCCGGAUUUAUUGGGCGUAAAGAGUUCGUAGGCGGUUUGUUAAGUCUAAAAUUCAAGCCCGAGGCUUAACCUCGGUUCGUUUUAGAAACUGGCAAACUUGAGUGUGGUAGAGG